rnacentral:rRNA from 1 species
GAUGAACGCUGGCGGCGUGCCUAAUACAUGCAAGUCGAGCGAACGGACGAGAAGCUUGCUUCUCUGAUGUUAGCGGCGGACGGGUGAGUAACACGUGGAUAACCUACCUAUAAGACUGGGAUAACUUCGGGAAACCGUAUCUAAUACCGGAUAAUAUUUUGAACCGCAUGGUUCAAAAGUGAAAGACGGUCUUGCUGUCACUUAUAGCUGGAUCCGCGCUGCAUUAGCUAGUUGGUAAGGUAACGGCUUACCAAGGCAACGAUGCAUAGCCGACCUGAGAGGGUGAUCGGCCACACUGGAACUGAGACACGGUCCAGAGUCCUACGGGAAGCAGCAGUAGGGAAUCUUCCGCAAUGGGCGAAAGCCUGACGGAGCAACGCCGCGUGAGUGAUGAAGGUCUUCGGAUCGUAAAACUCUGUUAUUAGGGAAGAACAUAUGUGUAAUGAACUGUGCACAGCUUGACGGUACCUAAUCAGAAAGCCACGGCUAACUACGUG